rnacentral:rRNA from 1 species
AACGAACGCUGGCGGCAGGCCUCAAACAUGCAAGUCUAGGGGGUGUAGCAAUACAUCACCGGCGGACGGGUGCGUAACGCGUGGGAAUAUACCUAUCGAUUCGGAACAACUGAGGGAAACUUCAGCUAAUACCGAAUACGUCCUAACGGAGAAAGAUUUAUCGUCGAUAGAUUAGCCCGCGUUCGAUUAGCUAGUUGGUGGGGUAACGGCCCACCAAGGCGACGAUCGAUAGCUGUUCUGAGAGGAAGAUCAGCCACACUGGGACUGAGACACGGCCCAGACUCCUACGGGAGGCAGCAGUUGGGAAUCUUGGACAAUGGGGGAAACCCUGAUCCAGCCAUGCCGCGUGAGUGAUGAAGGCCUUCGGGUUGGUAAAACUACUUUCGCGCACGACGAUAAUGACGGUAGUGCGAGAAGAAGCUCGGCUAACUUCGUGCCAGCAGCCGCGGUAA